UAUCAGAAUAAUUUUUUUCAACAAUAGAAACCCAUAUUAGAUGGAAAGUUUCCAACUCCUAAGUAAACUUGGGUUGGCAGAUUCAAAGGAAACAACGAAAACUUUUUUAAAAAAUAUUAAAUUGUAUCAAACCAACAACUGAGUGCUUUAAACACUUUCAAGGUACCAAGGCUAUAGAGUAAAAAAUACAGAGACUGGGGUCUAUAACAAAGAAUGUGGCCUUUGUCCCUGGGAGAGAGACUCGAAAACCUUACAAUUUCCUGAGUAAUAGGAGGGUCUUUGUUAUUCUUGAGCCCCUUGGUUCACACCUGGGUUUAUGCUAAUGAAUGACUCAGGAUGGGGGCUGGUCACACUAACCAUGUGAUUAGGGGGACAGGGCUUUAAACCAGCUCAACCUCCAGGUAGGUGAGGGGAACUAGAGAUCAAGUUCAAUUGCUUGGCCAAUGAUUCAAUCAAUCAUGACUACAUAAUAAAACUCUAAUAAAAACAAUGGACACUGAAGGUUGGAGGAGCUGCCUGGUUGGUGAACAUAUCAAUGUGCCAGAAAAGUGACACAUCUUGAUGACAUUGGGAGAGGACAGAAAAGUUCUACAUUCAGGCUGCCCCCCACCCUGAGACUUUGACUGUGUAUCUUAAUUUGGCUCAUUCUGAUUCUUUAUAAUAAAACUAUAAUCAUAAGUAAAA
rnacentral:lncRNA from 1 species